rnacentral:rRNA from 1 species
CAGCACCUCAAGUGGUCAGUAUGAUUAUUGGGCCUAAAGCAUCCGUAGCCGGCGCUGUAAGUUUUCGGUUGAAUCUGUACGCUCAACGUACAGGCUGCCGGGAAUACUGCAGCGCUAGGGAGUGGGAGAGGUAGACGGUACUCGGUAGGAAGGGGUAAAAUCCUUUGAUCUAUUGAUGACCACCUGUGGCGAAGGCGGUCUACCAGAACACGUCCGACGGUGAGGGAUGAAAGCUGGGGGAGCAAACCGGAUUAGAUACCCGAGUAGUCC